GUAAAUGCCUUGAGUGGCCUUUUUAAGUAAAAAAAAAAAAAAGAAAAGAAAAAAAAGGUUCAACCAGGGCGAGGCUUGUCCAUUGCACUCCGGCCAUGCUGACCCCUGCGAAUUCCCCAAAUGCGGGAAUCUCGACUGCAUAAUUUAUGGUAGUGGUGGACUGCGUUCGCGCUCUCCCCUG
rnacentral:snRNA from 1 species